rnacentral:lncRNA from 14 species
GGGCACUCCCGAGCAGCCGGACCGAGCACACACGUGCAGGGAUCACACACACCAGCUCGGGCUCGUCCUGCGUUCACCUGGGUGAGUGCACACACGCGUGUCCCCUGGCACACGUUGGCACACACAUUGGCACAUACAUUGGCACACAAUUGCACACACUGGCACAUACAUUGGUACACACAUUGGCACACACAUUGGUACACACAUUGGCACACAAUUGCACAUAUUGGCACAUACAUUGGCAUACACACAUUGGCACACACGUUGAUACACACAUUGGGACACAAUUGCACACAUUGGCACACACACUAGCACCCAUUGGCACACUCAUCCUUGCCAACCCAGCCCUCCCCAAGCCGAAUUCAAGCAGCAUCUUCACCCCGUCCUCUCCCUCCGUGGUGCCUUCACCACCAUCCUCCUCCUCCCUUCCACCCUCUCCCAGCUGGGUGAGGAUGGGGGCGCAGCAGCCCCCCAGGACCCUCGGGGACCCCCGGGGCCGGGUGCCGCAGGGCACAGACCUGCUGAGCCCUCGGGUGCGGAGCAGGGGCCGAGCAGCCCUCGGUGCUUGCGGCUGCCGGGAGGUGAAGAACCGGGGUUCGCUGCGGGGAUAAAUAGGGGGCUCUGCCCAUGGCACGUCACGGGUGGGCGAGAGGAGCGCUGCCAAUGGGGGCCGGGAGGGGGGUGGCACCCCCAGCCUGCGGCUCCUCGCCCACACGGUGUCACCGGCAGCACCGGGUGCCCGCACGGAGUCACGCUGUGGCACGGCAGGAGCCGGCACUGGGCCCACGCAGCCCCCGGCCCCUCCUUGUGCCGCAGGAGCAUGAGGUGGCUGCCAGCACGUGUGGGGUGUGCACGGAGGGGAUGGGGUGCCCGGGGCUCCGGUAACACACAGAGCCCCGGACCCCUCAGUGCCCCACUGAGGGGUGAUUCAGCCUCCAGGGAGCCCCAUAUUGAUUGCACAUCCUGACCCCCUGCAUCCUGCUCCUGUAUCCUCUAUCCCCUCCAUCCCUGCCCUGCCUUCAUCAUCCCUGUUC